CAACUCCGGUUGAUCCUGCCGGACCCCACUGCUAUCGGGGUGGGACUAAGGCAUGCUAGUCUGUGCCUUCAAGCUAUGGUGAAGGCACGGCGGACAGCUCCGUAACACGUAGCUAACCUGCCCUCAGGACGGGGAUAACCCCGGGAAACUGGGGCUAAUCCCCGAUAGGCGAGAAAGCCUGGAAUGGUUUCUCGCCUAAAGGAUGCAGAAACCAUGCUUUCUGCAUCGCCUGAGGAUGGGGCUGCGGCCGAUCAGGUAGUUGGUGAGGUAACGGCUCACCAAGCCUAUAACCGGUACGGGCCGUGAGAGCGGG
rnacentral:rRNA from 1 species